UACGGGGGGGGCAAGCGUUGUUCGGAAUUACUGGGCGUAAAGGGCUCGUAGGCGGCCAGCUAAGUCAGACGUGAAAUCCCUCGGCUUAACCGGGGAACUGCGUCUGAUACUGGAUGGCUUGAGUUUGGGAGAGGGAUGCGGAAUUCCAGGUGUAGCGGUGAAAUGCGUAGAUAUCUGGAGGAACACCGGUGGCGAAGGCGGCAUCCUGGACCAAUACUGACGCUGAGGAGCGAAAGCCAGGGGAGCAAACGGG
rnacentral:rRNA from 1 species